rnacentral:rRNA from 1 species
CCAGCAGCCGCGGUAAUACGGAGGAUGCAAGCGUUAUCCGGAAUUAUUGGGCGUAAAGCGUCCGCAGGUGGCUCAUCAAGUCUGCUGUCAAAGGCAGGGGCUUAACCCCUGAAAGGCAGUGGAAACUGGAGAGCUAGAGUGCAGUAGGGGUAGAGGGAAUUCCCGGUGUAGCGGUGAAAUGCGUAGAGAUCGGGAAGAACAUCGGUGGCGAAAGCGCUCUGCUGGACUGCAACUGACACUAAAGGACGAAAGCUAGGGGAGCGAAUGGGAUUAGAUACCCCAGUAGUC